rnacentral:rRNA from 1 species
AUGGUGUCCUCGGCGUCCGGCGGCGACGGGUGCACGGCGGCGGCGGUGCGGGAGGUGGCGACGGCGCGGUUCGCGCGGCAGGUGGUGCUGGGGCGCUGGUUCAUGGUGUUCGCCUGCCUGCUCAUCCUCUCCGCCUCCGGGGCCACCUACAUCUUCGGCCUCUACUCCAAGGUGCUCAAGUCGGCGCUGGGCUACGACCAGCAGACCCUCAACACCUUCGCCUUCUUCAAGGACCUCGGCGCCAACGUCGGCGUCCUCUCCGGCCUCAUCAACGAGGUCACGCCGCCCUGGGUCGUGCUCGCCAUCGGCGCCGCCAUGAACCUCGUCGGCUACCUCAUGAUCUACCUCGCCAUCGACGGCCGCACGGCCCGCCCGCCCGUCUGGCUCAUGUGCGUCUACAUCUGCGUCGGCGCCAACUCGCAGUCCUUCACCAACACCGGCGCGCUCGUCACCUGCGUCAAGAACUUCCCGGAGAGCCGCGGCGCCGUGCUGGGCCUGCUCAAGGGCUUCGUGGGGCUCAGCGGCGCCAUCUUCACCCAGCUCUACAUCGCCAUCUACGGCGACGACGCCAAGUCGCUCGUGCUGCUCGUCGCGUGGCUCCCCGCCGCCGUCUGCAUCGUCUUCGUCCACACGGUGCGCAUCAUGCCGCACCGCCCCGUCCGGCGCCGCGGCGAAGAGGAGACGGCCGCCACCACCAGCGACCCCUUCUACUGCUUCCUCUACAUCUCCAUGGCGCUCGCCACCUACCUGCUCGUCAUGAUCGUGGUGCAGAACCAGCUGGAGCUCUCGCACCCGGCCCUCGUCGUGUCCGCCACCGCGCUCAUGCUCAUCCUCCUCCUCCCCCUCGCCGUCGUCGUCAAGCAGGAGUACAGGAUCAAGCGGGAGCUCGAGGAGUCCCUCCUCGUGCCCCCCACGGUGACCGUCGAGAAGCCAGCCGCCCAGCUGCAAAUGGCCGCCAAAACAGAGACAAAAACAGAGGACGCGACGUCGGCGCCCACUGCGGCUUCGCCGUCUUCGAGCAGCUGCUUCGGGUCGUCGUGCCUAAAGGAGAUGUUCAGCCCGCCGGCGCAGGGGGAGGACUACACGAUCCUGCAGGCGCUGGUGAGCGUGGACAUGCUGGUGCUGUUCCUGGCGACCAUCUGCGGCGUGGGGGGCACGCUGACGGCGAUCGACAACAUGGGCCAGAUCGGGCAGUCCCUGGGCUACCCGCCCAAAAGCAUCAAGACCUUCAUCUCCCUCAUCAGCAUCUGGAACUACGCCGGCCGGGUCACCGCCGGCUUCGCGUCGGAGGCGGUGCUGGCGCGCUACAAGUUCCCGCGCCCGCUCAUGCUCACCCUCGUCCUGCUGCUGGCGUGCGUCGGGCACCUCCUCAUCGCCUUCGGCGUGCCGCAGUCGCUCUACGCGGCGUCGGUGGUGAUCGGGUUCUGCUUCGGGGCGCAGUGGCCGCUGCUCUUCGCCAUCAUCUCCGAGCUCUUCGGCCUCAAGUACUACUCCACGCUCUACAACUUCGGCUCCGUGGCCAGCCCCAUCGGCGCCUACGCCCUCAACGUGCGCGUCGCGGGCUACCUCUACGACGUGGAGGCCGCCAGGCAGCACGGCGGCACGCUCGACGGCGCCGGCGACAAGACCUGCGUCGGCGUGCAGUGCUUCAAGCUCGCCUUCCUCAUCAUCACCGCCGCCACCGUGGCCGGCGCGCUCGUCUCGCUCCUGCUCGUCUGGCGCACCCGCAAGUUCUACCGCAGCGACAUCUACGCCAAGUUCAGGGACGCCGCCGACGGCGAGCCACGGAAGGAGGCCGAGUCAAGUGCGGUCAACGGGAGCAAGGAGUAG